UAAGCAGGCAGGCCCUUUGAAAGCAGAUAUUCUUCUGUUUAUGUGGAAGAAGCAAUCAUUUUGUGAGAGCCUAUGAUGGGAGUCACAUAGCAUGGACCUGAGGGCAGCCUCAAGAUGGUGAUACUACUUUGGGCCAACAGCCAACUAGGAAAUAACAACCUUCGUCCUACAAUUGCAAGGAACUGAAUUCUGCCAUCAACAUGAAUGAGCUUGGAAGACUACCCUGAGCACCACAGGAGAAUGUGACUUCAGUUCACACUAUGAUAGCGGCCUGAGGAGACCUUGCGCAGAUGGCUCUAUUAUGCAUGCCCAGACUCCUGACCUAGGAAAACUCCUCUGUCGUUAUUGUGACCACGUGUGGUGCCGGUGCCAGAACAUUCCUCCCUUGUGUGUUUCAUGCCCAAUAUGAUCCUCAUAUUCAGGGCUUCCAGAAGAUUCUGUCUGUUUCGUGAAUUCUUACUAUUGCUAUCCUGAAAAGGUAAUCAGCAGCUGCUUGUGCCAAAGAGGAGGGAGAGAAGGAGCUACAUCAUCGUCCUUUGUUCUCUUACAGGAAGAACUGAACUGUGGUGCACUCUUUACUUUUUAUUGAACUAGCAAGCAAAAAAUAUAUUGUUCAUUGUUUUUAACCACCAUAUUUUCAGACCUCAGCUGGAGCAGACGUACCUCGUAAAUGGAUACUACUUGAUGGCCCCAGCUAGAGCAAGAAAGGUUUUCUCCCCUGGCAGCAGCCCAGUGGAUGGAUGAGAGACUGUCGCAACUCAGCUAAAGGAAAGCCAGUGUACUUCAAACUCUCACUUUAGUCCAAUGGACUUUUUGUUUAUAACAGCCCUUCCAAACUCCUCCUUUCCCCUAUAAAAGAGUGUUGCUCUCCUUUGUUCUCAGGCCUGCCUGCGGUUUUGCGAUAGCUUGCUUAUCCCUGACUGCAAUUCUCUGCUAUUCCUGAAUAAACAUUUUGCUGGUAAAA